rnacentral:rRNA from 1 species
CCUACGGGUGGCAGCAGUGAGGAAUAUUGGUCAAUGGCCGGAAGGCUGAACCAGCCAAGCCGCGUGAAGGACGAAGGUGCCAAGCAUUGUAAACUUCUUUUGUCAAGGGACAAAAUCAGGCUCGAGAGCCUGACCGAGGGUACUUGAAGAAAAAGCAUCGGCUAACUCCGUGCCAGCAGCCGCGGUAAUACGGAGGAUGCGAGCGUUAUCCGGAUUUAUUGGGUUUAAAGGGUGCGUAGGCGGACUGUUAAGUCAGUGGUAAAAGCCCGGGGCUCAACCCCGGCGAGCCGUUGAAACUGGCUGGCUGGAGAUGUCGAGAGGUAGGCGGAAUGCGCAGUGUAGCGGUGAAAUGCUUAGAUAUUGCGCAGAACUCCGAUUGCGAAGGCAGCAUGCCGGCGGCGAUCUGACGCUGAGGCACGAAAGCGUGGGUAUCGAACAGGAUUAGAUACCCCGGUAGUC